CAGUCGCCACGGGAACACGGAGGGUGCAAGCGUUAAUCGGAAUUACUGGGCGUAAAGCGCACGCAGGCGGUUUGUUAAGUCAGAUGUGAAAUCCCCGAGCUUAACUUGGGAACUGCAUUUGAAACUGGCAAGCUAGAGUCUUGUAGAGGGGGGUAGAAUUCCAGGUGUAGCGGUGAAAUGCGUAGAGAUCUGGAGGAAUACCGGUGGCGAAGGCGGCCCCCUGGACAAAGACUGACGCUCAGGUGCGAAAGCGUGGGGAGCAAACAGGAUUAGAUACCCCUGUAGUCCCUGUCUCUUAUAC
rnacentral:rRNA from 1 species